GGAGAGAUGGCUCAACAGUUUAGAGCACUGACUGCUUUUCCAGAGGACCUGGGUUCAAUUCCCAGCAUCCA
rfam:Mesocricetus auratus contig087607, whole genome shotgun sequence.